rnacentral:rRNA from 1 species
UUGCCUCUUGGACUGGGACAACUGUUGGAAACGACAGCUAAUACCGGAUAUUAUGAGAUUCUCGCAUGAGAAACUUAUGAAAGCUAUAUGCGCCAAGAGAGAGCCUUGCGUUCCAUUAGCUAGUUGGUGGGGUAACGGCCCACCAAGGCGACGAUGGAUAGCCGGCCUGAGAGGGUGAACGGCCACAAGGGGACUGAGACACGGCCCUUACUCCUACGGGAGGCAGCAGUGGGGAAUAUUGGACAAUGGGCCACAAGCCUGAUCCAGCAAUUCUGUGUGCACGAUGAAGGUCUUCGGAUUGUAAAGUGCUUUCAGUUGGGAAGAAGAAAGUGACGGUACCAACAGAAGAAGCGACGGCUAAAUACGUGCCAGCAGCCGCGGUAAUACGUAUGUCGCAAGCGUUAUCCGGAUUUAUUGGGCGUAAAGCGCGUCUAGGCGGAAAAAUAAGUCUGAUGUUAAAAUGCGGGGCUCAACUCCGUAUUGCGUUGGAAACUGUUUUUCUAGAGUACUGGAGAGGUGGGCGGAACUACAAGUGUA